GGUUGCGAACAUACCGGAACUAAUGCACCGGAUCCCAUCAGAACUCCGCAGUUAAGCGUGCUUGGGCGAGAGUAGUACUAGGAUGGGUGACCCCCUGGGAAGUCCUCGUGUUGCAACCC
rnacentral:rRNA from 1 species